CAAGCGUUGUCCGGAAUCAUUGGGCGUAAAGCGCGUGUAGGCGGUCCGGUAAGUCCGCUGUGAAAGUCGGGGGCUCAACCCUCGGAUGCCGGUGGAUACUGUCGGGCUUGAGUACGGAAGAGGCGAGUGGAAUUCCUGGUGUAGCGGUGAAAUGCGCAGAUAUCAGGAGGAACACCAAUUGCGAAGGCAGCUCGCUGGGACGUUACUGACGCUGAGACGCGAAAGCGUGGGGAGCAAACAGG
rnacentral:rRNA from 1 species